AUGAACGCUGGCGGCGUGCCUAAUACAUGCAAGUCGAGCGAACGGACGAGAAGCUUGCUUCUCUGAUGUUAGCGGCGGACGGGUGAGCAACACGUGGAUAACCUACCUAUAAGACUGGGAUAACUUCGGGAAACCGGAGCUAAUACCGGAUAAUAUUUUGAACCGCAUGGUUCAAAAGUGAAAGACGGUCUUGCUGUCACUUAUAGAUGGAUCCGCGCUGCAUUAGCUAGUUGGUAAGGUAACGGCUUACCAAGGCAACGAUGCAUAGCCGACCUGAGAGGGUGAUCGGCCACACUGGAACUGAGACACGGUCCAGACUCCUACGGGAGGCAGCAGUAGGGAAUCUUCCGCAAUGGGCGAAAGCCUGACGGAGCAACGCCGCGUGAGUGAUGAAGGUCUUCGGAUCGUAAAACUCUGUUAUUAGGGAAGAACAUAUGUGUAAGUAACUGUGCACAUCUUGACGGUACCUAAUCAGAAAGCCACGGCUAACUACGUG
rnacentral:rRNA from 1 species